GGCCAAUUCCUAAAAUGGCCUAAAAUAACUUUUAAACCCCAACUCAAUCUUCCCUUUUCCCAUUUUCCCUAAAAUCCCUAAAACCUAACAUCAGAAGAGCUAGAAAAAAAAUAACGGGACAUCCCCCUUGAAGAAGAGAGCAAAAACAGCACUCCAGAGCUCUCUUUUCUUCAACGAAAAGCAGACCCCUCCUUCUCCUACACUCAAAAGACCUAGCCGGCCACCCCUCCAUCAUUUCCAACCUAUUUCUAGAGAUUCCAAGAUAUUUCAGUUUCCAUUCAUCCAUGUUGAUUUUUUUUUGGAAAUUCAAAGACUUAUCGAGCUGUGAAAUACUCUCUGACUGCUUGAUUUGCUCGAUUGCUAUAGCUGAGUUCUGAUUCGCUGUUGUCCCGUACCGGAAUUUGUUCAUGUAGCAUUUUUUAGUUAAGAGGCAAGCACUAUACAGUAGAUAUAGUUAGCAAAGUAAUACAUUCCCAUAUUGCUUUGCUGGAGGAUUCUAUAUUCAUUAUACUUGUGCUUUUGAUGUAAAUUGAAAUCCCUCUAUAUUUCUGAUUCUUCCUUUCAACUUUUAAUUUAAGAAUAAGGCUAAGGAAAAGUCCUGUUGAUUCA